rnacentral:rRNA from 1 species
GGAUUAGAUACCCUGGUAGUCCACGCCGUAAACGAUGAGUACUAGCUAUUGGAGGUAUUGACUCCUUCAGUGGCGCAGCUAACGCAUUAAGUACUCCGCCUGGGAAGUACGGUCGCAAGACUAAAACUCAAAGGAAUUGACGGGGGCCCGCACAAGCGGUGGAUUAUGUGGUUUAAUUCGAAGCAACGCGCAGAACCUUACCAAGACUUGAAAUCCUAGGAAUCGGGCGUAAUGGCCUGAGUGCUCGCAAGAGAAUCUAGUGACAGGUGCUGCAUGGCUGUCGUCAGCUCGUGCCG